rnacentral:lncRNA from 1 species
GAAGCAGUCGGUCAAGUGGCGGAGCUGAAUGAUCUACAAGCUGUGGGACUGUUUCAGAACGGGCUGGAUCUGGUCAAGUCAGAAAAGUUGGUGAAAAAACUUAUGUUUAACCACCCGAAGAGUCUGGCCGAAGCCUUUGAUAAAGCUGAAGGCUAUAUCGUAGUGGAAGAAGCCAUGAGUAGCCUCAAGCGUCCUUCUUUAGAUCGGUCCAGAGAUACGGAUCGGGACAAAACUGAUGAAGACCAAAAGAAGAGUGAAGGACACAAAGACCGUCAUGAAGGUGGGUCGAAAAGGUAUAACAAUUGGAGGCAGGGUGGAGGACGUU